GAGAUAAUUCCUAUACUCUUGUGAACAACAUUUAUUUUUGUUGUGAUUUCACAGAAAAUAUUGCACUGCUAUGUUUUAGGUAUUUCAAAAAUUGACUUUGUCAUCCUUAUAAGCUAAAAAUGACUAAUUUCCAAUCAAAUCUACCCGUUGCAUGUGACCUAUUUUCCUUACAAAUUUUUCCAGGCCUAGCUUAUAUAGGGUUGGGGAGAAGGCAUCUCACUGUCGUAAUCCUGAGUUGACUCCGAAAUUCGAUAAUAACUCUCCAAGAAAUUUCACUUUAAUCAUUGUUAGUGUUGUAAUACGCUAUAUAAUAGGGAAUUUACCCAUAUUUAAUAUUUUUCGGCCUCGAUCUAUUUUAUAGAAAUAAUUUAUCUUUAUAUAAGUUGUAUUAAAUUAAGCUAUAUAAAAAAUAUAUCAUAAAUUCUUAACUUUUCCCUUUCAUAAUAACAAGGGUUGGCCCAUGAACGAUAUAUUCGUACAGUAUUAUUUACGAGGAGCGUACAAAUACGAUGAUUUACUAAAAAUGUACCGGAUUUGUGGAACACAUCAAAAUAAUAUAUAUACAACACAACAUUAUUACUGUUAUUUUGUGACGUCUGAAACAGAUAUUAUUAUAAAAGAAACUCAGUCAUUAUCGUAUACACAUCAGAGUCUUUGGAUUUUAUUUUAUCUAUAUGGGCAACGCGCAAAACUGGACAUCAUUGUAGUUCGACGACGAUCACUUAUUUUCGAUAAAUUAUACCAUUCGAUUCGAUGUAUUUUUUUAUUUGA